UUGUACAUAAUAGAAGUCAUUAAGGGUUCGGUAUAGUCCCGGUUUAUUCAUUCUAAUUAAAGUGAAUCUCUGGUUUAUUUUUGGUUUAGUUGGUUUGUUGUCUAUACAUUGAUGUAACAAACUUUCUGAUUCAUUAAUGAGAAAUUGAGUUUUUGCCAUGUUCUCUCUCGGAUUCAUGGUUCCUAUUAGGGUUCAAUGUUAUAAACUACAAUCGUUUUCAUGUCAUUUUCUUGUAUUGUAAACAACGUGGUGGUAGUCUAGUAGUAAAUUUCCCAUAUGGAGGUGUUGGGUUCAAGGUAUGUUGGGAAGGAUCUAUUUUUCAAAGGAGAUGUAUUUAAUCUAGACUUAUUAGAAGUGUUGGGUUCGAAGCAUGCUGGAAAAGAUCUCUUGUCUAAAAAAGAUGAAUUUAACCUGGUAUAGGUCUCUGUCUUUGGAAGAUAUAAGGCCUUUGAACUUAAAUUUUCAGAUAUUAAAAA
rnacentral:sRNA from 1 species